AUUGAACGCUGGCGGCAGGCUUAACACAUGCAAGUCGAGCGGAGAUGAGGUGCUUGCACCUUAUCUUAGCGGCGGACGGGUGAGUAAUGCUUAGGAAUCUGCCAUUUAGUGGGGGACAACAUUCCGAAAGGAAUGCUAAUACCGCAUACGUCCUACGGGAGAAAGCAGGGGAUCUUCGGACCUUGCGCUAAAUGAUGAGCCUAAGUCGGAUUAGCUAGUUGGUGGGGUAAAGGCCUACCAAGGCGACGAUCUGUAGCGGGUCUGAGAGGAUGAUCCGCCACACUGGGACUGAGACACGGCCCAGACUCCUACGGGAGGCAGCAGUGGGGAAUUUUGGACAAUGGGCGAAAGCCUGAUCCAGCCAUGCCGCGUGAGUGAAGAAGGCCUUCGGGUUGUAAAGCUCUUUUGUCCGGGAGGAAAUCCCGUAACCCAAUACGUUACGGGGAUGACAGUACUGGAAGAAUAAGCACCGGGCUAACUACGUGCCAGCAGCCGCGGGUAAU
rnacentral:rRNA from 1 species